rnacentral:rRNA from 1 species
GACGAACGCUGGCGGCGCGCUUAACACAUGCAAGUCGAACGGAAAGGCCUGCUUUCCCUUGUGGAUUGCGGGUACUCGAGUGGCGAACGGGUGAGUAACACGUGAGUGAUCUGCCCCCAACUUGGGUAUAAGCCUGGGAAACUGGGUCUAAUUCCCGAUAGGACUGCAGGGUGGUGCCUGUGGUGGAAAACGAUUUUCUAGUGGUUGGGGAUGAGCUCGCGGCCUAUCAGCUUGUUGGUGGGGUAAUGGCCUACCAAGGCGGCGACGGGUAGCCGGCCUGAGAGGGUGGACGGCCACAUUGGGACUGAGAUACGGCCCAGACUCCUACGGGAGGCAGCAGUGGGGAAUAUUAGACAAUGGGCGGAAGCCUGAUGCAGCGACGCCGCGUGGGGGAUGACGGCCUUCGGGUUGUAAACUCCUUUCGACCGCGAGGAAGCCACCUGGUUGGAAGGGUGGUGACGGUAGUGGUAGAAGAAGCACCGGCUAACUACGUG